rnacentral:rRNA from 1 species
CGGUUGUCACGCCAGUGGCAUUGCCGGGUAGCUAUGGUCGGACGGGAUAACCGCUGAAAGCAUCUAAGCGGGAAGCCCCCUUCAAGAUGAGACAUCCCCGAGGCCUAGAGCCUCCUGAAGGGCCCAGCGAGACCAGCUGGUUGAUAGGCACGGUGUGGAAGCGCUGCAAGGCGUUGAGCUAUCGUGUACGAAUGGCCCGUGAGGCUUGACCCU